AAAGGGUGGUAAUGCCGGAUGCUCCAGUUGAUCGCAUGGUCUUCUGGGAAAGCUUUCGCGGUAUGGGAUGGGGUCGCGUCCUAUCAGCUUGACGGCGGGGUAACGGCCCACCGUGGCUUCGACGGGUAGCCGGCCUGAGAGGGCGACCGGCCACAUUGGGACUGAGAUACGGCCCAGACUCCUACGGGAGGCAGCAGUGGGGAAUAUUGCACAAUGGGCGCAAGCCUGAUGCAGCGACGCCGCGUGAGGGAUGGAGGCCUUCGGGUUGUAAACCUCUUUUAUCGGGGAGCAAGCGAGAGUGAGUUUACCCGUUGAAUAAGCACCGGCUAACUACGUGCCAGCAGCCGCGGUAAUACGUAGGGUGCAAGCGUUAUCCGGAAUUAUUGGGCGUAAAGGGCUCGUAGGCGGUUCGUCGCGUCCGGUGUGAAAGUCCAUCGCUUAACGGUGGAUCCGCGCCGGGUACGGGCGGGCUUGAGUGCGGUAGGGGAGACUGGAAUUCCCGGUGUAACGGUGGAAUGUGUAGAUAUCGGAAAAGAACACCA
rnacentral:rRNA from 1 species